rnacentral:rRNA from 1 species
UAUCUCUGUAGAGUCUGCAUAUCAAUAAGCGGAGGAAAAGAAACUAACAAGGAUUCCCCUAGUAACGGCGAGUGAAGCGGGAAGAGCUCAAAUUUGAAAUCUUCAAGGUUCUACCUUGACGAAUUGUAGUUUAAAGAAGUGUUUUCGGUUAGAGGAGUAGUAAAAGUUCUUUGGAAUAGGACAUCAUAGAGGGUGAGAAUCCCGUAUUUGACUAUUCUUUCUAGCUUUGUGAUACACUUUCAAAGAGUCGGAUUGUUUGGGAAUGCAGUCCAAAAUGGGUGGUAAAUUUCAUCUAAAGCUAAAUAUUGGCGAGAGACCGAUAGCGAACAAGUAGCCGUGAGGGAAAGAUGAAAAGAACUUUGAAAAGAGAGUUAAACAGUACGUGAAAUUGUCAAAAGGGAAGCGUUUGACACCAGUGUUGUUUUUCCGAAAAUCAAUUAAAAAUUGAUUCAUGCCAGGUUGUAUUGACCUUAUCAGCUUGCAAUUUGGUUUUGGGUCUCUUUUUGAUGCACUUUUCGGUUAACAAGUCAACAUCAAUUUCCUUUGCUGUAAAAAGGUAAGAGGAAGGUGGCUUCAAUUUCGGUUGAAGUGUUUAUAGCCUUUUAUCUCUGCAGUCGGGGAGAUUGAGGUCUGCAGCGUAGAUCCUUCGGGGCUAGAUACAUUUAUGCUAAGUUAUAGCUUUUCAUAGACAACUUGUUGACUAUGUUUAGUCAUGUAGCUUACUCGUAAGUGCUAUUUUACCUACGCUUAGGAUGUUGAGCGCAUGUCUCUCUC